ACAGGCCUAAGUUAUUAUAGACUAGGUGUUUUCAAAACACCAAGAAACUUUAGAGUUGGUCUGUG
rnacentral:tRNA from 1 species